GCGGGGGUUUAUGAAUGCAAACUUACAAAUCCUUUGGGGGAUGCCAAGCAGCAAGGAAAAUUGGAUAUUAUUCCUGAAGGAGAAUUAAGAAGACCAAAAAUAAAACAAGGAUUAGAAGAUCAAAAAAUCCUCAAAAAGAAAGGAGUUAAACUAUCAGCUGUAAUCGUUGGGGAUCCUGAACCUAUAAUAAUAUGGUGCAAAGACGGUAAAGAAUUAACUGAAGAAGAAUUUGAAAAGUACAAAAUGGUUUUAGACGCUGACG